GCCACCUCGCAGACCCCAGUCCGCUGCAUCCGGACCCUCGUCCCAGCCUCGAUGACGCAGGAGGAACCAUCCCAGGGCGCAGUGAACGAGGGGGCAGGCGUGUCUUGCGGCUGAGCCAGGCUUGUGCCAGGGACCACAGAGGAGCCGCCAAACCCAGCCAUGGAGCCAAGCGAGGGAAGCAACCCACAGCCCUCAGGAGAGGAGUGGAGGAGCCCUGCCCUGUCGCUCAGCCGGUUAGAGCAUCUCCCGAGACACCAAGUUUCUGUUCGAUCCCCGUCAGGGGAUCAACCAGCGCAUCAAUGAGCGGAACAACAAAUUGAUGUUUCUCUCCCCCUUCCUCUCUCAAAUCA